rnacentral:rRNA from 1 species
UACGAAGGGGGCUAGCGUUGUUCGGAUUUACUGGGCGUAAAGCGCACGUAGGCGGAUCGGUAAGUCGGGGGUGAAAUCCUGGAGCUCAACUCCAGAACUGCCUUCGAUACUGGCGAUCUUGAGUCCGGAAGAGGUGAGUGGAACUCCUAGUGUAGAGGUGGAAUUCGUAGAUAUUAGGAAGAACACCAGUGGCGAAGGCGGCUCACUGGUCCGGUACUGACGCUGAGGUGCGAAAGCGUGGGGAGCAAACAGG